GACCGUGUGGCCUAAUGGAUAAGGGGUCUGACUUUGGAUGAGAAGAUUGAGGGCUUGAGUCCCUUUGUGGUCA
rfam:Papio anubis isolate 1X1155 chromosome 16, whole genome shotgun sequence.